rnacentral:rRNA from 1 species
GACGUAGGAGGCGAGCGUUAUCCGGAUUCACUGGGCGUAAAGCGCAUGUAGGCGGUUUGGUAAGUCCGUUGUUAAAGCCCCCGGCUCAACUGGGGGAGGUCAAUGGAGACUCCUAGACUUGAGGGCAACAGAGGCACAUGGAACUCCCGGUGUAGCGGUGGAAUGCGUAGAGAUCCGGAGGAACACCAAUGGCGAAGGCAGCUCGCUGGGACGUGACUGACGCUGAGACGCGAAAGCGUGGGGAGCAAACAGG